ACGCUUGAAGUCAGUCGCAUUGGCCAGGGAUCAACCUUGCUUUUGCUUGGUGUAUUUUCUGGUUAAUGGGUCAGCAUCAAUUUUGAUCGGUGGAAAAAGAUCAAGGGAAUGUGGCAUCUUCGGAUGUGUUAUAGCCCUUGGUUGUAUACAUCGAUUGGGAUUGAGGAACUCAGCACGCCGCAAGGCCGGGUUUUAACCACGUACGUGCUUAGGAUGCUGGCAUAAUGGCUUUAAUCGACCCGUCUUGAAACACGGACCAAGGAGUC
rnacentral:rRNA from 1 species